rnacentral:rRNA from 2 species
CCCUUUGUUGUCCGACUCUGUUGCCUCCGGGGCGACCCUGCCUUCGGGCGGGGGCUCCGGGUGGACACUUCAAACUCUUGCGUAACUUUGCAGUCUGAGUAAACUUAAUUAAUAAAUUAAAACUUUUAACAACGGAUCUCUUGGUUCUGGCAUCGAUGAAGAACGCAGCGAAAUGCGAUAAGUAAUGUGAAUUGCAGAAUUCAGUGAAUCAUCGAAUCUUUGAACGCACAUUGCGCCCCCUGGUAUUCCGGGGGGCAUGCCUGUUCGAGCGUCAUUUCACCACUCAAGCCUCGCUUGGUAUUGGGCAACGCGGUCCGCCGCGUGCCUCAAAUCGACCGGCUGGGUCUUCUGUCCCCUAAGCGUUGUGGAAACUAUUCGCUAAAGGGUGUUCGGGAGGCUACGCCGUAAAACAACCCCAUUUCUAAGGUUGACCUCGGAUCAGGUAGGGAUACCCGCUGAACUUAAGCAUAUCA